rnacentral:rRNA from 1 species
GAUGAACGCUGGCGGCGUGCCUAAUACAUGCAAGUCGAGCGAACGGACGAGAAGCUUGCUUCUCUGAUGUUAGCGGCGGACGGGUGAGUAACACGUGGAUAACCUACCUAUAAGACUGGGAUAACUUCGGGAAACCGUAGCUAAUACCGGAUAAUAUUUUGAACCGCAUGGUUCAAAAGUGAAAGACGGUCUUGCUGUCACUUAUAGAUGGAUCCGCGCUGCAUUAGCUAGUUGGUAAGGUAACGGCUUACCAAGGCAACGAUGCAUAGCCGACCUGAGAGGGUGAUCGGCCACACUGGAACUGAGACACGGUCCAGACUCCUACGGGAGGCAGCAGUAGGGAAUGGUCCGCGAUGGGCGAAAGCCUGACAGAGCAACGCCGCGUGAGUGAUGAAGGUCUUCGGAUCGUAAAACUCUGUUAUUAGGGAAGAACAUAUGUGUAAGUAACUGUGCACAUCUAGACGGUACCUAAUCAGAAAGCCCCGGCUAACUACG